AUGCUCACUUCGGCAGCACAUAUACUAAAAUUGGAACGAUACAGAGAUUAGCUUGGCCCCUGUACAAGGAUGACACACAAAUUCGUGAAGCGUUCCAUAUUUUU
rnacentral:snRNA from 1 species